rnacentral:rRNA from 1 species
UAGGGAAUCUUCGGCAAUGGACGAAAGUCUGACCGAGCAACGCCGCGUGAGUGAAGAAGGUUUUCGGAUCGUAAAACUCUGUUGUUAGAGAAGAACAAGGACGUUAGUAACUGAACGUCCCCUGACGGUAUCUAACCAGAAAGCCACGGCUAACUACGUGCCAGCAGCCGCGGUAAUACGUAGGUGGCAAGCGUUGUCCGGAUUUAUUGGGCGUAAAGCGAGCGCAGGCGGUUUCUUAAGUCUGAUGUGAAAGCCCCCGGCUCAACCGGGGAGGGUCAUUGAAACUGGGGGACUUGAGUGCAGAAGAGGGGAGUGGAAUUCCAUGUGUAGCGGUGAAAUGCGUAGAUAUAUGGGGGAACACCAGUGGCGAAGGCGGCUCUCGGGUCUGUAACUGACGCUGAGGCUAGAAAGCGUGGGGAGCAAACAGG